rnacentral:rRNA from 1 species
GACGAACGCUGGCGGCGUGCUUAACACAUGCAAGUCGAACGGAAAGGCCCUGCUUGCCGGGUACUCGAGUGGCGAACGGGUGAGUAACACGUGGGUGAUCUGCCCUGCACUUCGGGAUAAGCCUGGGAAACUGGGUCUAAUACCGGAUAUGAGCCAUUUUGAGUGUGAUGGUUGGAAAGUUUUUUCGGUGUAGGAUGAGCUCGCGGCCUAUCAGCUUGUUGGUGGGGUAAUGGCCUACCAAGGCGGCGACGGGUAGCCGGCCUGAGAGGGUGGACGGCCACAUUGGGACUGAGAUACGGCCCAGACUCCUACGGGAGGCAGCAGUGGGGAAUAUUGCACAAUGGGCGCGAGCCUGAUGCAGCGACGCCGCGGGGGGGAUGACGGCCUUCGGGUUGUAAACUCCUUUCGCUAGGGACGAAGCUUUUUGUGACGGUACCUAGAUAAGAAGCACCGGCUAACUACGUG